UACGUAGGCAGCGAGCGUUGUUCGGAGUUACUGGGCGUAAAGGGUGUGUAGGCGGUUUUUUAAGUUUGGUGUGAAAUCUCCCGGCUCAACUGGGAGGGUGCGCCGAAUACUGAAUGACUUGGAGUGCGGGAGAGGAAAGUGGAAUUCCUGGUGUAGCGGUGAAAUGCGUAGAUAUCAGGAGGAACACCGGUGGUGUAGACGGCUUUCUGGACCGUAACUGACGCUGAGACACGAAAGCGUGGGUAGCAAACAGG
rnacentral:rRNA from 1 species